AGGUGGGAGGAUUGCUUGAACCCAGAAGAUGGAGGUUGCAGUGAGCUGAGAUCACACCACUGCACUCCAGCCUGGGCAACAGAGUGAGACUCUGUCUC
ensembl:miRNA